rnacentral:rRNA from 1 species
ACCAGACUCCUACGGGAGGCAGCAGUGGGGAAUAUUGGGCAAUGGGCGCAAGCCUGACCCAGCAACGCCGCGUGAAGGAAGAAGGCUUUCGGGUUGUAAACUUCUUUUAAGAGGGAAGAGCAGAAGACGGUACCUCUUGAAUAAGCCACGGCUAACUACGUGCCAGCAGCCGCGGUAAUACGUAGGUGGCAAGCGUUACUCGGAAUCACUGGGCGUAAAGAGCGCGUAGGCGGGAUAGCAAGUCAGAUGUGAAAUCCUAUGGCUUAACCAUAGAACUGCAUUUGAAACUGUAUUUCUUGAGUGCUGGAGAGGCAAUCGGAAUUCCGUGUGUAGCGGUGAAAUGCGUAGAUAUACGGAGGAACACCAGUGGCGAAGGCGGAUUGCUGGACAGUAACUGACGCUGAGGCGCGAAAGCGUGGGGAGCAAACAGGAUUAGAUACCCCAGUA